CUCGGAGCCCACGCGGGCCCGCUCCCCUCCUCCCACUUUGUACUUCUGAAGCGAGCAAGAAGGAAGUGUGAACCCCACCAUGUAGGAGCGAGAGGGGGGACAGGCCUGGGGCUCUGUCCGAGCCAAGGCGAACACCUUUUCUGCAGCCCCAAUUAGCGCCCGGCGGAUUAGCACCUUCUUAAGCUCUGCCUGGAAGCAGCCGAGGUCUUUCGCCGUCCACCCCCACCCGCCGCGGACUGGGAGUCAGGGCUCCCCGCCCCCACGCGCCCCACCCCCGCCCGCCCCGAGAAAAGUUUUCACCGAAAACCCGAGGCUGCCAGAGCCGGAGUGGAAGCCACUGACGUCACUGGCGGGCUAGGGCACGGAGGGCGCCUGGAGACUCGGAUGGCGACCGAGGAUGUGGCUGCUUCCAAGAGGCGCGGCGCCAGCUGCUGAAGUGGGAAGAGGGCAUGUUUCUGUCGGAGGGGUCUGGACAGACGCCUGCGUCCCUUUACGCAGCCCUGGGGAGGUGAGUUCCCCAUGGGCGGCAGCCACACGCGGAUCCCGGGACCCGAAGCUGAAGGCCUCUCGCCCCGCCCAGGGCCAGGGCCUCCUCUGCCCGAGCCCCUCACACCCUUCUUUCGCCUUCACCCUGCUCAGCUCCUGAUCAUCCUCGCCAAGCUCAGAGGCCUCCAAGCGCGGCCAAGCUUGGCUGGCGAAGCCGUGGCGCCCCGGCCCUUUCUCGCCUCUGCACCGGCUGUGCUCCGAGCUGCCUCCCUUCCAAGGACACUGGGCAGCCGGCUUCCUUCUGCUUCUGCCCCCCUCCCCCCGCUUAGAAACGGUACUUUCCGUUGGGUCCCCCAGAGCAGCCCAGGGUCUAACUCCCAACGCCCCGCGGCCCCAUGUUAAAGCUCCUGCGGUGAGCGGGCCUUGCGCGCAGCGCCCUGGCAGUCUUGCAAACAGGAUUCCUGGGAAAGUUUGCUCGGACUCCGUCAGCCCAGGACAGACCCCCCCCCCCACCUCUGCUGCUCUCGACCUCUGCCCCCAGAGGCAGGAGUUGGGCUUCCUGGGAGCAGCAAGCCAACGCCACGGCCCCUCCUCCCUCCACAGCUGCCGGUCCCGAGGGCGCAGGACCCAGCCCCAGGCUGUGCUCCCGGAGCCGGGGGAGGAGAGCGAACCUCAGGGCUGGCUCUCCACAGCCGCCGGAGCUGAGUGCAUCCCGAUCGGCUUUUAGGAUGGCAUUGACUGGGACAAGCUGUUCCCAGCCCCGUAAGCGUUAAUCUGCCUGUUAAUCAAAGCACUGAGGGGCUCAAUGAGGGUUUUAUUAGCGACCGGAGAGCAGAGGCAGCAGCCAGGGAUCAAAAGCCAGGGUCCCAGGUACUUUGUCAGCAAGGCACUCAAAAAAAUUGUAUUUUCAAUUAGAGAACAAUUCGGGGCUUUUCAUCAUCUCCUAACCAGGUCUCACAGAUGCUGACUUCCAGACUGUGCGCAGGGGAGAACCAAAUGCCCGGGGGCGGACCGGGGCGGCCGAGGGGCCCUGACGCCUCCCGACGCAGUCGAAAGGGAAGCCGCGAGCCACACCGCCAAUGUGGGCUUCAGACCCUGGGUCGCCCGCGCCACUGCCGGGCUGCCGGAAGUUUACGGAGCCGGAGCCGAGAGACUCCCACGCGCCUCCUCUGCCCUGGAGGGAGGCUGGGUCCCCUCCAGGGUGCCUCUCAAACCCUAAAACAAAUACAUAAAAGCCCAGGCCUUGGGGACUUUUGAACAGCAAUUGCUCCAAUAAUCCAAAUUGUACGAGAACUCCAGGGAAAAGAGCCAACCCAGCCACACCCGCCCUGCGAUCGCGAGGGCAGCGGCGAGGCCACCGCGAGGACUCGGUCAGAGGCGAUUAUGUCACCGCGUUUUCUCGCCGUGACAGCCGAAUAAACACGAUCUCCAAUAAACAUCUCUAAUGAGGGAGGAGGCCCGAGGACGGCUGGGUUUGAUUUAUGACUGGAGAAGGUCCUCUGCCCACAGCGAGGCGGGCAGCCUGCUCUCCGCUCAGCUCGAGGAGAGAUCCGCGUGGGACCCAGCCCAGAGAAUGAAGUGUAAAACAGCAGAACGAGAGAUGAGGAAAACAGAAGCCAGACUGGUCCCCAGCCCGUGGUGCAGAUGGGGUGUGCCCAGGAAUGGUGGCUUUCACUGCUCUUCGUCCACCCUGCCGGAGCUGAAGGAGGGCAGCAGUCCUGUCCCGGAGGCAGGCGUGCACGACCUCACUGCACACCCAGCUCUGCAGCCGGGCGCGGAGUGAGCAGUCAAAGGCUGCCUUACCUGCCCAUGUGGAGAAGGUGUUGGCUAAGGGACCCCAUAGCCUUUGUUGAGGGACAAUAACUACCGACUGUUACACUUCCAUUUGGAAAGAACCUUUAUAAAAUGCGCUGCUUAACGUGGGACACUGAGGAAGGAAGAUCACUGGGAGUCCCGGCCCAGCUUGCAUUGCACAGCGAGAGCCUGUCUCAGAAAACCAAAAAUAAAAUGAAGUAAAAUAAAAUGCAUUGGCUAAAUAGAUACAGUACCAUUUUGGGGUAAUUACUACUGCUCAGGAAAGUAAGGGCGAGAACUUGAAGAGAAGCAGUGAGAGAGC
ensembl:lncRNA